rnacentral:rRNA from 1 species
UACGAAGGGGGCUAGCGUUGUUCGGAAUUACUGGGCGUAAAGCGCACGUAGGCGGAUAUUUAAGUCAGGGGUGAAAUCCCGGGGCUCAACCCCGGAACUGCCUUUGAUACUGGGUAUCUCGAGUCCGAGAGAGGUGAGUGGAAUUCCGAGUGUAGAGGUGAAAUUCGUAGAUAUUCGGAGGAACACCAGUGGCGAAGGCGGCAUCCUGGACCAUGACUGACGCUGAGGAGCGAAAGCCAGGGGAGCAAACGGG